ACGCUGGCGGCGUGCCUAAUACAUGCAAGUCGAACGCUUCUUUUUCCACCGGAGCUUGCUCCACCGGAAAAAGAGGAGUGGCGAACGGGUGAGUAACACGUGGGUAACCUGCCCAUCAGAAGGGGAUAACACUUGGAAACAGGUGCUAAUACCGUAUAACAAUCAAAACCGCAUGGUUUUGAUUUGAAAGGCGCUUUCGGGUGUCGCUGAUGGAUGGACCCGCGGUGCAUUAGCUAGUUGGUGAGGUAACGGCUCACCAAGGCCACGAUGCAUAGCCGACCUGAGAGGGUGAUCGGCCACAUUGGGACUGAGACACGGCCCAAACUCCUACGGGAGGCAGCAGUAGGGAAUCUUCGGCAAUGGACGAAAGUCUGACCGAGCAACGCCGCGUGAGUGAAGAAGGUUUUCGGAUCGUAAAACUCUGUUGUUAGAGAAGAACAAGGAUGAGAGUAACUGUUCAUCCCUUGACGGUAUCUAACCAGAAAGCCACGGCUAACUACGUGCCAGCAGCCGCGGUAA
rnacentral:rRNA from 2 species